CCUGCAAUUAAAAAGGAAGAAAGCAGUGUACCCUCCUCCUUUCCAAGUUCAGUAUCAUCAAGCUUUGUAUCAAAGCUAUCUCUUACACUAAAUUGUUUUACCAGAAGGAGAUCCGGUGGAUGGGAUUGUUGUCAGUGUCCUCAAUAGGAAUCACUUCAAAGGGUUCGUCUUGCCUCUGUUCAGGGUCUUCUUGGUGCUGAUUUGAGGAGAACGCACAAUGAUAGAGGAAACCUGAGUCAUAUCCACCCUGAAGAGAAGGGCCAUAAAGAAGUGUUGACAAAAGAACACUGAUGCAGCUGACCAGGGCUGUACAUACUUCAGGGUAUCAUACCUGGGCAUACCAAAUGGGCUGCCCACUGUCAUGAACUUUUGACAUGAAAUUCAGACUGACGUUCCUGCCAACGUGAAGUUCAUUCAUAGGCUCCACCUCCAAUAACCCUGUGUCAUCCACAGAAUCAGCAGCAUCUAUUGUCUCAAAAUUCCAUACCUUCAUGGAAUGAAAACAAAAAAUGAGAA